UUAUCUAUUUAAAUAAUACUUCAAAGUGAGUUUUAUUCCGUGUUUAAUAAGACUUUGAAAUUCACUCAUUUUGAGGGGUUCUAAGUGAAAAUCGUUUUUCUCCUGUCAGUUGCAUGCUGCCAUUAGUCACCAGGUUGACCCAGAAUUGUGUGGUUUAGGUCUGGGCAGCGUCCUCCUGAACAGCCUGAAGCAGACGGUGGUGACCCUGGCCAGCAGCACGGGCGUGCUGAGCACCGUGCAGUCGGCCGCCCAGGCCGUGCCGCAGAGUGGCUGGUCCGUGCUGCUGCCCAGCGCCGAGGAGCGGGCCCGGGCACUCUCUGCUCCCCUGCCCCGCGCAGGUGGGCUUGGAGAAGGAACAGGAGAGGGCAUGGGUCACGGUGCUGGGAGGGGAUGGCGUUUCACUCAAAUUGGCACACACUUUCUAUUUCAGUUUCAGGCAAUGACGUGAACAUAAGUCGAGGUUGUCAAUUCAUGAGUGAUCUUCUGGUGGGCAGCUUGGUGGCUGCUGGAGGGUUGGAGUCAGCCUUACACGCAGCCAUUACUGCAGAGAUCCAGGAUAUUGAAGCCCAAAAAGAAGCACAGAAGGAAAAAGAAGUUGAUGAACAGGAAGCGAAUGCCUCAGCAUUUCAUAGAAGCAGGACGCCAUUGGAUAAAGGCCUUGUUAAUAUGGGAAUCUGUGAAUCUUCUGGCAAACGGUGUUUACCUCUGGUUCAGCUCAUACAACAGCUUCUUAGUCCAUGUGAAAUACUGGUGAGCAUUGUUCUGGAAGGCUGGACUAGGAGGAGGUGUGAAGAAGUCGGACUCAGCCUGCGGACAGAGGCUAACCUUGGCAGAAGCGAAAACGGUCAGGCAGUGUUGUCUGAACAUGAUCGUUCAAGAAGAGCGGAAGAGCAAGGUGAUUUGUGAGAGAGAUUUAUUAGACAAUGA
rnacentral:lncRNA from 10 species